ACAGGCGUAGCCAAAUGGUAAGGCAUGGGACUUUGACUCCCAGAUAUGCGGGUUCGACCCCUGCCGCUUGUGCCA
rnacentral:tRNA from 1 species